rnacentral:rRNA from 1 species
AAUGAACGCUGGCGGCAGGCCUAACACAUGCAAGUCGAACGAGGGGCGGACGGGUGAGUAAUGUAUGGGGAACUGCCUGAUGGAGGGGGAUAACUACUGGAAACGGUAGCUAAUACCGCAUACCAUCGGAUGUACCCAGAUGGGAUUAGCUAGUAGGGGGGGUAAAGGCUCACCUAGGCGACGAUCACUAGCUGGGCUUCGAGGAUGACCAGCAACACUGGAAUUGAGACACGGCCCAGACCCCUACGGGAGGCAGCAGUGGGGAAUAUUGCACAAUGGGGGCAAGCCUGAUGCAGCCAUGCCGCGUGGAUGAAGAAGGCCUUCGGGUUGUAAAGUACUUUCAGCGGGGAGGCGUUACCCGCAGAAGAAGCACCGGCUAACUCCGUGCCAGCAGCCGCGGUAAUAC